AUUUUUCUACUGAAGCCCCUCCAUGCACUUAGUAUGAAAUCCAAAUCCUCUGGCCUGGUGGACGUGCCCUCCUUCUUUUGAAUGUUGUUCUCACUGUCCUUUACCUCUGUGCCCCUCAUUGUCUGUGCCGUCCCCAUGUGGGAGACAUCCCGUCCCCUCAAUCGUUAGAGCUGUGGAGAGCUGGCCCCGUACCCUCCACCCCUUUCUCUACGUUACACCUGCUUUACUCUCAGAACAGUCUUACCACCAUCUGCAGUUAUCGUUUUUAGUUACUUGUUCACUGCCCUUUCCCACUGAGAGGGUCAGCGUCAUGAGAUCAGAACUUGUCAAGUCGGUGCUUCGUCGGCGAGGUGAGGAGUGAGCUCCUCGAGGUCACCUGCGGGUUGGGGAUGUGACAGUUUCUGAGCGGCAGUGUUAAGUUGUCCUCCAAAGAGUCUGCACCAAUUUCCACGUCCACCAGCAUGCUCGGGAGCGUGUCCAUUUUCUCCACCCCUUGCGAGGCCUGUGGGGAUCUUGGACCUGGUUCCCGUGAGCAGCCUCUUGCGACAGCCAUAGGUUGAUGUUCACUGUCUGUGUGGGUUCUUGGUUACCCCUGCAUCAAACAUCAACUCUGUGAUGAAUCCACUUAUUCCCAACCACUGCUUUUCAAAGUCACCCCGUCUUCCUUCCCCUUUCCUCUGAGUUUCCCUGAAAGAGAUGAAAUUUCUCAGAAGGAUUCGGUUGCCUUUAAGGUGCCAUGACGUGCCCGGUGGCCCUGAAUUAAACACCACACCACAUGGUUACACCCAGGCUGACUGGCUGCCCAUGCACUUCUCACGAACGGCACGUGCUCCAUACUUGUGUGUGUUUUCUGCUUCCAUCAUCACUGCAACCCAGAGACAGAGUUUCUAUAUUUCCUGUUUUGCAGAUGGAAACUGAUUUUUAAGCUGCACAGCUACUAAAUGCGUGAACCAGGAUUUGAGUCUAAUGUCUCCCUUGCAUUUAUGACUUCAUUCAUUCUGUGUCUAUACCAUGUGCAGCCCUGCUAUGUGGGAGUGUGAG
rnacentral:lncRNA from 1 species